CUCACUCCAGCCGUUACACUAUUUUUAUCUGGUGGCUUAGGACUUGAAACAAUGCAUUAAAAACGGCAGAGCUGGGAGAGCUAACCCCCCCUUCGCCAGCAAGUGAGGGUGUGUCUUUAGCGAGUUGCUUCAUCUCUUGGGAAGCGGGGAGUGCAACAGGGGCUAACCGCAGGUGCGCCCCGAGGCAGCGGGACUUGUGUGUUACGUGCGUGGAAGGCAGGUCUGCUCCACCGCUGUCCUUUGCUGAGCCUUGAUAAAGUGCGAGCUCUACUCAAAGCCCAAGCUCGGUUCCUACGCCCCACUGCUGUCAAAGCUGAGUCCGAAAACCUGCACGUUCUCACGCCCCCCUACCCCCCCCUCGGCCUUGCCUGCCCUCAAUCAAAGGGAGUGAUUGAUACUACUUGCACGUGGUGGUUCUUUAAGACCACAGUUUCCAUUACCAACAGAGAUGGUUUUCAAAGUCUGGUGGUGGAACUGAAGCCUUCAAAAGAAGGACUAACCAGAAGCCCGAUAUGUAAAGCAGUGGAGGCUGGAAUGCAUCGAGUGGCCUGGCUCCGCAGGGGACAGUUUGAACAUCUCUGGCCUGUAGGAUAAAGGUUGCCUCGUGAGACCACAGUUAAGAUGUUGGCCAGGGCUGCAGUCACCACUGCUGCUGGAGGAUUCCCUGCUGAGAGGGCUUAGUCACCUGACUGCCCUUCGAGUGAAGCUCAUGGGAAGCGACUUCCCAGCCCCAGUCAAGCCUUUGGAUGACUGCAGACCCUGCCAGCAUCUUGACCACAACCUUGUAAGAGACCCAGAGCCACUAGCUCAGAACCACUCAGCUGUGUCAUUCCCGGACUCCCAAUCCUCGGGUGCUGAGUGAAAAAAUAAAUGU